CCGCAAGUCAGUACGACCAGCUCCCUUUUAAUCCCCCAGGGCAGGAAUGCAGCAAGGGUAGAAGGUUGUAGCGGUGCGAUACUGACUUGUUUUUG
rnacentral:SRP_RNA from 1 species